ACUCAAAGGAAUUGACGGGGGCCCGCACAAGCGGCGGAGCAUGUUGCUUAAUUCGACGCAACGCGAAGAACCUUACCAAGGUUUGACAUGCAGGGAAAAGCCGUGGAGACACGGUGUCCGUAAGGGCCCUGCACAGGUGGUGCAUGGCUGUCGUCAGCUCGUGUCGUGAGAUGUUGGGUUAAGUCCCGCAACGAGCGCAACCCUCGUCCUAUGUUGCCAGCGGGUAAUGCCGGGGACUCAUAGGAGACUGCCGGGGUCAACUCGGAGGAAGGUGGGGAUGAGGUCAAGUCAUCAUGCCCCGUAAGUCUUGGGCUGCAAACAUGCUACAAUGGCCGGUACAGAGGGCUGCGAAACCGCAAGGUGGAGCGAAUCUCAAAAAGCCGGUCUCAGUUCGGAUUGGGGUCGAGUUGCAGACCCCAUGAAGUCGGAGUCGCUAGUAAUCGCAGAUCAGCAACGCUGCGGUGAAUACGUUCCCGGGCCUUGUACACACCGCCCGU
rnacentral:rRNA from 1 species